GAUGAAGAACGUAGCGAAAUGCGAUAAGUAAUGUGAAUUGCAGAAUUCAGUGAAUCAUCGAAUCUUUGAACGCACAUUGCGCCCCUUGGUAUUCCGGGGGGCAUGCCUGUUCGAGCGUCAUUAUAACCCCUCAAGCUCAGCUUGGUGUUGGGGCCUGCCAACUGGCAGCCCUUAAAAUCAGUGGCGGCGCCAUCUGGCUCUAAGCGUAGUAAUUUCUCUCGCUAUAGGGUCCCGGUGGAUGCUGGCCAACAACCCCCAAUUUUCUAUGGUUGACCUCGGAUCAGGUAGGGAUACCCGCUGAACUUAAGCAUAUCAAUAAGCGGAGGA
rnacentral:misc_RNA from 1 species